AUCAGGUAGGACUACCCGCUGAACUUAAGCAUAUCAA
rnacentral:rRNA from 1 species